UGGCAGCACUUCCUAUGUGCUUGUCCCCUCUAUACAGACUUGCGAGACCUCGAUGGACUUGGAGUGCAGUACACGGAUGGCGACUGGACCUUCUCCGAUGUGACGGCUUCUCAGGAGAGAAUGCGGACUCUCGACAGGUUCGCCGGACUGGCGUUCUCCAGACGACAACAGCUGCUGAAUGCGCAAGCGGCGCACGGGCUGGGUGGAUUCCCUAUCCAGGCCGGUCGGGGCUAAAAGGGAGGAUCGAGCUGAGUCCUUAAGAUCGGUACCACGGGUUGUGCAGUUCCAAGGCUGCACAUUGAGGUCGGCCCCCUAGUGGGAGUAUCGUGGUGGCUGUGGUUGAUACCCAAACGUUACGCGGGGAGAGCCGCUAGGCUCCUCGUGGAGUUGCGCUCUCAACCGGGUGCCGAGACCCAUAGAUCGGAAGACGUGUUAGAUACACCUCGCCCCUCACCAAGGGGGAUUGUAUGCCCGACCAGGAUACUUUCAAUUGGUACCAGAAGAGUCGCUAUGUACAUAGCUAUAGCUUCUUUUUAGGGGCGCUAACUGGCGCAUUGUACCAGGUUCCUGCGUAUGUAGCGGUGGUGCGUGAUGGCGUGAUAUAUGUAAAUAUAUCGCACUAAUCGAGGCUAAGCUGCAAAUAAACAUUAGACGCCGUGGUUGAAAUCCCUCCCUGAGGAACCGCCACGUAAAAUAAAGCUGAGAGAUCAGAUUCAUUCUGUCCCUAUCUACUAUCUAGCGAAACCACAGCCAAGGGAACGGGCUUGGAAUAAUUAGCGGGGAAAGAAGACCCUUUUGAGCUUGACUCUAAUCUGGCAGUGUAAGGAGACAUAAGAGGUGUAGCAUAAGUGGGAGAUAUAAGAUUUCGAUUUGGUAUCGACAAUGAAAUACCACUACUCUUAUUGUUUCCUUACUUACUUGAUUAAAUGGAACGUGUAUCAUUUCCUAUCCAUUAUACGGAUAUGUUUAUUAUAUCUUAUGGUAUUGGGUUUUGAUGCAAGCUUCUUGAU
rnacentral:ncRNA from 1 species